CAAUAGGCACCCCUCCCCCUUUGCCAAAACCCCUCGCUUGUCGCCUUUGCUGUGCACAGGCCUGUUGAGCUCGCAUGUGUCAUGGCGGCGCUACUGUUCCGACGUCUCUUCUCACUCAAGUAGAGAUAUGAAUGCUUACGUUUACAUAAAAUGACAGAAUCAUGAACUUGCGUACACGUUUUAUAAAUAGACGAGUGCACCUAUGAACUGAAUUCAUCGCGGUCCGAGAAUUUUGACACUAGAGCGGGGCCAUUCACUCAGAAGCAGAACAAAUCAGUAACUGUUUUAAAGUUAAACAUUUUUAGUUUUGUUGCAGUUUAUCAUUUGACUUGAAUAAUAACAAUGCAAACAAUGUCUAGAAAGUUAAACUUGUUCCACGUCUGGAGCGCUGACCAAUAAACAAGCUCGAAAACCAGUUAAUUUUAUCGAGAAAUGAUUUGUUCCUGUCGAAGAGAGUAUCUUUACGAGUCCAAAGUGACCACCACGAUCGAUACUGGUCCACGGGGUGGACAUUUGAGUAGCAGUUGGCACCAGCAUUCCCAAUAUCGAAAUAGUCAUGGUCCUGCUGAUGCUGCAUAAAGCUUCCACAUCUCUUGGAUUAGUUUGCUUCCUACUGCAUGAAGGAUUUUAACGGAAGCACCUGAUGAGCUCAUCGCUUUCCGCCCGUUCCGAACUCUCCUGAAUUCCACAAUUAGAAAUGAACAACAGGACACACUAGAGUCCCAUAAUACAAUCAUCAUAGCGAUGCCGUUAUCCACAGGGACAUUCUUGCGCGGAGCCACGAUUCUCUCGGAGCUGAUGCACAAUAUCGGACACACCACAACCUCCUGGAUUUCGCUUCCGGCAGCUAGU